UCUGAUUGCUGAGCCAACUUGCCCAAAGCCCCCACAAUGAAGGUGAGUCCGUAACUCCAUCCCACAUCAUCUUGAAGCUAUGUCCGUUCUCUUUGCAGGAGUCACCUCUUUGCACAGACCUUUCUGGAGUACCUCAGGUAGCAUGGCCCACGCCUUCCCUGGCAGGACACCAACAGGGCUGUGUUUUAUGCCCUGGCAGUCCUGAGUGCUUUGGAGUGCCAGGCUGCUCCCCCAGGAUGCAGAUGGAAGAUGUGCCCCCACUCUAUUGAGCAGGCAGGCUCCCUCAGAUGGGCCCCAGAUGGUGGCAUUAGCUGAGCAGUGGAUGGAGCCAGGAGAGGGGUGUUGGAAGAGAAUGGGGACAAGCUUGGCCAGCCACAUGCUGGAUGGAGAGGAUGAUAAGGUAGAGGGAUGGUGCCUGGGAGUUUCAGAAUUGCUAGCCCAUGAUGGUUUUGGCUGAGGUCAGUACUAUGGCUCUGACUGUACACUUGCCUCUUUGUGUGGAUUGGCUUAAUUCACUGUAAAGCAGGGACUAUUGCAGGUGCGGAACCUAUUGGAGCACCCGAGGGGUGCUGAGUGAGGGGUCAAGGAGAUGACCUUAAAUGUCCCCCAAAAGCCCAUCUGCAAAGAGGCUUACUUCCCAGCCUGUGGCACAAUGAUGAAGUGGUGGAAGAUUCAGUAGGCGGGGUCUAGUAAGAAGUUUGCUCACUGGGGGUGUGUCCUUGAAGAGACUAUUGGGACCCUAGUCUCUCUCUUCCCCCCACCCCCUCCCUGUUCCUCCCAGCCUCUCUCUUUCUGCUUGCGGACUGCUGUGCAGUGAACAGCUUUACUCCAGUAUGCCUGUGCCGUGAUGUGAUGCUUCACCACAGGACCUAGCCCAAAGCAAUGAGCCAUCUAACUGUGGACCAAGAUCUUCAUAACUGUAUCCCCAAAUGAGCCUUUCUUCCUUUGUGUUGAUUUUCUCAGCCUGAAGUAGAAUGAAUUCAGGCUAGUGGGGACUGGAGUGUGAAGGCUGCUUCCCAUCCACCCACCCAGACAACGGCAGACAGAGAUGGGCAUAGUGAAUUGGGCUGGGAGAGACUGGUACAAGGGCUUCUCCCUGGAUAACAGGUCUGGGUGCCAAGGAGAAGAUCCUGUGCCCACAACCUUCCCAGAUCCCUCUGCCAUCCCUGGAAUUAGGGGGCCAGGGCCAUGUGACCUAGCUCUGUAUGGCCUGGCUGCCCUAGCUGAGGGAUCCAGGGCAGGUCCUUUCUCUAUCUGGAUUUCUUUCUGUACAUGGGGACCUGGAGGCUCUGCCAGAAUUCUAUUCCUAUUGGUGGGAAACUGCUGGGUUGGGGGCACACUGGGGCCUUGUGUGGACUCACUCACCCUGUGAUUGGGGUGGGGGGCUGGGUUGACUCGGCUUCUACAGCCUCUCUGGGGCUCUGAAGGAGAAGAGCCUCCUCCCAGGCCACAGACAGACUUGAACCUUCUCACAACAGAACCACCAAGCACUUGGCUCCUGCAGAGCCUGUGUGUGUUUGUGUCUGGGUGCUUAUGUGUGUGCCUGCUUGUGUCUGGGUGCCCAUGUAUGUGUUUGUCUGUGUACACUAUAUGCAGGUGAAUCUCUCUUUGUCUGUCUGUCUGUCUGUCUGUCUCUCCCCCCGCCCUGUAUUUUUAUUGCUCAUAGGCAGAACUUGAGAUACUUCUCCUUGCUUCCUCCAGGCCCCAGGCCCCGUGACAGCCCAGCUCCUGCCCUGUACGCUCCAGGCUACCUCUUCUCACUCCUCAGCGUGGACUGUGAAAGCCCAGCUUCUGGAUUCUCGCGAGUACCCCGAGAGAAGCGAUGGCAGGGCAGGACUCUUGAUCCUGUCUUACAGAGCUGAAUUCUUUUCCUUCACAUCUCCAUCUGAGGGAUCGUAUGAAUGGGGCCUGUAUGACUCAGUGGACUCCAGCCAGGCUAUGUCUGAAUUUCCCAUUCUACAGAAGCACCAGUACAACUGGCCCUGAGGAUUUGUUCGCUAGAUAUCUUACAAAGUAAACAAAACUGUUCUUGGUCCUAGGAAAGAGAUGAUCCCACCUGGGGGUUCUAGGAUUAAUACGGUCCUGCCCUCUUGUGUGCACAGGCAUCAGUCUCCGGCUUAGGACUCCACAUUCCAGCUCAGAGAUGUUUCCUCUUCACCCCCGCUGGAUCUCUGAACAUUGUAGGGAGGGCUGUUAUGUCAGUCCUGGACCAUUUCCCAUCCAGGACACGCCAUAUAACUCCCCUGCUUAAGUAUCACUUCUAUGCUGACAUCUCUCACCCUGCAUCUGGACACAUCUGCCAAAUUGUCUCUCCCUAAGUCCCCUGUGAGGAUCUAAUAGGCACCAAGCCCAGCGGGGCUAAGGCAGAUCUCUGACUUGGCUCUCCCUGGAGCCUCUUCUCAUUUCAGAGAAGGAAGCAUCGCUCAUUUCGUUGCUCAAGCUCAAAGCCCUUCAGCGAGUCACCACAUCAGCCGCUGCUGUAAGCCAGCCUCCUAAAUAGAGCCACAGUCUACCCUUCGUGGCCACCAUCUUACUCCUGGUAGUGUGCCACCACUGCCUCUCACCUGGACCAUUGCAAAGCAUCUGCACUGAUUUCUGUAUCUUCACCAGCCUCCACCAUCCUCCCAGAGGCCACAGACCAAGGGAGUCAGAAUCAUGGAACUGACCCGGCUGUAGACCCAGACUUCCAUGUGUAAUACGUGCGACAUUGAAGCUAUCAACUUACCCUAAAGAACAGAGGUCCACGGGGUCUUCUGUGUUCUGGUUAGAUGGAUGUGGUGGAGUUCUGGGGUGGAUCUAAGUUUGAGUUCAUCAGGAAGUCACGGAAUCAGGAAAACUCCAUGGGAGAAAUGUAUUUGGGAAAAUAAAUGGGUUAAAUUAUGUGCCCAUUAUAAUCAGAUGUAGUAAAUGUCAGCCCUGCCUUAGAUGGAUUACAUAGACAGAUGACUUCCAAAACACCUCCAUGAGAUACAUCAUGGGGAAGACUCAGCGCGGCUAAGUGGCUUUCUUAAAGUCACAGCCACAGGGUCAAAAGCUCCAACCUUGGCUCCUUUAGCCCAGGCAAGCCACACUUGUCUCUCUGCAUGGCUAGAUCCACAAAGAGCAAACCCUGCCUGCACAGAGACAGCAUCCUUUGGUGGGAGCCUUGGACUGGAGGUGGGACCUGGACUGGAUCUAGGCUUUUCUGUUCAUAAAGAACUUGUCUCAGGCAAGCCACUGCAUCUCUCAGAAUCUCUAUUUCUUUGUCUUGAAAGGUACGUGAAGAGGGUACCUCACCAGGUGGUGUGAAAUCAAAUGCAGUAUUAUGUGCUAAAGUGUUCUGUAAACAGUAAACACACUCAAGGCUCCUUCCUCCCACAGUCUUUGGGGACACACAGGCCCAGAGAGGCUGCGCUGCUCACUGGGGCUCAAUCCUACCUCGCUGGGGGCCCUUUUGCUUCCGGAAUCGCUACAGUACCCUUCCUAUUUUCUCCUUUUGUAUUCUCUUCAGACUCCCUCCUCAGGGCUCUGCCUCUAUAUCCUACU